CCUACGGGAGGCAGCAGUGAGGAAUAUUGGGCAAUGGGCGCGAGCCUGAACCAGCAAAGUAGCGUGAAGGAUGACUGCCCUACGGGUUGUAAACUUCUUUUAUAGAGGAAUAAAGUGAGGCACGUGCGCCUUUUUGUAUGUACUUUAUGUAUAAGGAUCGGCUAACUCCGUGCCAGCGGCCGCGGUAAUACGGAGGAUCCGAGCGUUAUACGGAUUUAUUGGGUGUAAAGGGAGCGUAGAUGGGUUGGUAAGCCAGUUGUGAAAGUUUGCGGCUCAACCGUAAAAUCGCAAUUGAUACUGGCAGUCUGGAGUACAGGUGAGGUAGGCGGAAUUCGUGGUGUAGCGGUGAAAUGCUUAGAUAUCACGAAGAACUCCGAUGGCGAAGGCAGCUUACUAAACUGCGACUGACAUUGAUGCUCGAAAGUGUGGGUAUCAAACAGGAUUAGAUACCCUUGUAGUC
rnacentral:rRNA from 1 species